UAGAGUGAGGGAGAGGCAGAUGGAAUUGGUGGUGUAGGGGUAAAAUCCGUAGAUAUCACCAAGAAUACCCAUUGCGAAGGCGAUCUGCUGGAACUCAACUGACGCUAAGGCGCGAAAGCGUGGGGAGCAAACAGGAUUAGAUACCCUGGUAGUCCACGCCCUAAACGAUGUACACUAGUUGUUGGGGUGCUAGUCAUCUCAGUAAUGCAGCUAACGCAUUAAGUGUACCGCCUGGGGAGUACGGUCGCAAGAUUAAAACUCAAAGGAAUAGACGGGGACCCGCACAAGCGGUGGAGCAUGUGGUUUAAUUCGAAGAUACGCGAAGAACCUUACCUGGGCUUGAUAUCCUAAGAACCUUUUAGAGAUAAGAGGGUGCUAGCUUGCUAGAACUUAGAGACAGGUGCUGCACGGCUGUCGUCAGCUCGUGUCGUGAGAUGUUGGGUUAAGUCCCGCAACGAGCGCAACCCACGUAUUUAGUUGCUAACGGUUCGGCCGAGCACUCUAAAUAGACUGCCUUCGUAAGGAGGAGGAAGGUGUGGACGACGUCAAGUCAUCAUGGCCCUUAUGCCCAGGGCGACACACGUGCUACAAUGGCAUAUACAAUGAGACGCAAUACCGCGAGGUGGAGCAAAUCUAUAAAAUAUGUCCCAGUUCGGAUUGUUCUCUGCAACUCGAGAGCAUGAAGCCGGAAUCGCUAGUAAUCGUAGAUCAGCCAUGCUACGGUGAAUACGUUCCCGGGUCUUGUACUCACCGCCCGUCACACCAUGGGAGUUGAUUUCACUCGAAGCCGGAAUACUAAACUAGUUACCGUCCACAGUGGAAUCAGCGACUGGGGUGAAGUCGUAACAAGGUAACCGUAGGAGAACCUGCGGUUGGAUCACCUCCUUUCUA
rnacentral:rRNA from 1 species